AGGUGGGCGCUGACCCCCCGGGCAAAGGGCAAGGUGUGUGCCAGCUGGUAGAAGACCUCCGUCUCUUUGCUGCGCCGGCAUCGUGCCGCGUCCCGCGACUUCUCCUUCCGGAUUUCGGUGGUUGACCUGCAAAGGAUGCAGGCAAUGCUAUACAACUUUUAGAGACCACCAGCAACCAUAAGACAAAAUUGGGAAGCCUUGAGGUUGCAAUGCUUUUAAAAACUCAUCCAGUGCUAUAUACAAAGCCCCACAAAUAUACAAGAAAGAUCCAAAAGAAAUCUGUGCGUUUUGAAGCAAUGAAACACACUAGCAACACAGGAAGGGGCCAUUGGACAAAAUUGGGAAGCCUUGAGGUUGCAAUGCUUUUAAAGACUCAUCCAAUGCUAUAACAAAGCCCCACAAGUUUACAAGAAAGAUCCAAAAGAAAUCUGUGCGUUUUGAAGCAAUGCAACACACUAGCAACACAGGAAGGGGCCAUUGGACAAAAUUGGGAAGCCUUGAGGUUGCAAUGCUUUUAAAGACUCAUCCAAUGCUAUAACAAAGCCCCACAAGUUUACAAGAAAGAUCCAAAAGAAAUCUGUGCGUUUUGAAGCAAUGCAACACACUAGCAACACAGGAAGGGGCCAUUGGACAAAAUUGGGAAGCCUUGAGGUUGCAAUGCUUUUAAAGACUCAUCCAAUGCUAUAACAAAGCCCCACAAGUUUACAAGAAAGAUCCAAAAGAAAUCUGUGCGUUUUGAAGCAAUGCAACACACUAGCAACACAGGAAGGGGCCAUUGGACAAAAUUGGGAAGCCUUGAGGUUGCAAUGCUUUUAAAGACUCAUCCAAUGCUAUAACAAAGCCCCACAAGUUUACAAGAAAGAUCCAAAAGAAAUCUGUGCAUUUUGAAGCAAUAAAACAAACUACCAACACAGGAAGGGGCCAUUGGACAAAAUUGGGAAGCCUUGAGGUUGCAAUGCUUUUAAAGACUCAUCCAAUGCUAUAACAAAGCCCCACAAGUUUACAAGAAAGAUUCAAAAGAAAUCCGUAAGUUCUUAAGUACCGAAACACACCAGAUUCUACAAGAUCCCGUCUCAAAUGUUUCCAGAAAGAACUCCAAUGUCUAUCCAGAUCCAGGCAGAUCCCAAAUGCUUGCCCCGAUCUUGCCUGGAUCUAGCUGUUAGGAAUUGUGGGAGUUGAAGUCCAAAACACUUGGAGGGCCCAAGUUUGCCCAUGCCUGAUGCUAGACCCUCCCCAACCCUAUAUACAAUGCCACACAGGUUGAAAAGAAAGAUCCAAAAAUAAAUCCGCAUGCUUGGAAGCACCAAAACGCACCAAAUUCCAGAAGACACUUUCCUAGAAAUGUCUGCGAUCUAUCGAGAUGUUCCAAUUCCAAACCCCAAAGCAUGCCGGGAGCGCACCUGUAGCACCUCCUGCUCCUCUGCCGCCUCUGUCUCCGUCUCAUGCCGGGCACCGAGCUCUCUCUGGGCCCGGAGAGAGCCCCACCAGCCCCCCGAGGGCUCCUUCCCACUGUCCCUCCCUCUCUUCCCGGUCCCGUUACGGGUACAGGCUGUUCCAUUUCUGUCCCUUGGCUGCCUGCCCAUCUCUCCGGGGCUCCGGGUUGCAGCGUGCCUUUUUGGCCCCGAGGUAUGACACGGUUCCUUAUCUGCUCUCCAUUGACUCCUGGGGAAAAGUUCACCCAGAAGUCAUGGCCAAGGUCCAGGUGGGCCACCGGGUCAGCAGACGUGGCUGGCAGAAAAGGAGACGCACUGGGAGCCACGUGCGUGGAGCCAGGGCACAUGCGCAAAGGCAGGAGCGCCGCUGUAAACCAUCCCACAUGAAGAACCGGAGCCACAGAAUCCUAGAAUCCUACAGCUGGAAUCCACCAUCCAACCCCUUUGUGCCAUGAAGGAGAACAUCAUCAAAUCACUCCCAACUGAUGACCAUGCACUCCAGAGACUCCAACACAAUCAAGUAAGAUCCCUUGGCUCAUAGAUACAUAAUUAGAUGAUACAAUUGAUAGAAACUCAUAGAUUGAGUUGGAAGGGGACUCUAAAGGUCACCCAUUCCAACCCUGAAGACACCGGCAAAACCCUCCCGACAGAUGACCAUCUAGUCUCUGCUUCUAAACCUCCAGAGAUUCCACCACAAUCAAGUAAGAUCUCUUGGCUCAUAGAUACAUAAAUAGAUGAUACAUAAAUAGAAGAGCUGAAAAGGAGACUCCAAAGGUCACCCAUUCCAACCCUAAAGACACCAGCAAAACCCUCCUGACAGAUGACCAUCCAGUCUCUGCUUCUAAACCCCCAGAGACUCCACCACAAUCAAGUAAGACCCCUUGGCUCAUAGGUACAUAAAUAGAUGAUACAAUUGAUAGAAACUCAGAUUGAGCUGAAAAUGAGACUCCAAAGGUCACCCAUUCCAACCCUGAAGACACCGGCAAAACCCUCCCGACAGAUGACCAUCCACCCUCUGCUUUUAAACCUCCAGAGGAGACUCCACCACAAUCAAGUAAGAUCCCUUGACUCAUAGAUACAUAAAAAGAUGAUACAAUUGAUAGAAACUCAGAUUGAGCUGAAAAGGAGACUCCAAAGAUCACCCAUUCCAACCCUCAAGACACAAGUAAAACCUUCCCAACAGAUGGCCAUGCAGCCUCUGCUUAAAAACAUCCAGAGAAAUAGACUCCAUUGGACUUGCAGGCGGCAUAUUCCACUGCCAAACAAUGGAAGCCGUUGAGGGCUUUCAUGGCCGGAAUCACUGGGUUGCUGUGAGUUUUUCGGGUUGUAUGGCCAUGUUUCAGUAGCAUUCUCUCCUGACGUUUUGCCUGCAUCUAUGGCAGGCAUCCUCAGGGGUUUGUGAGAGCAACCCCUUGUGAGAGUAACCAAUGUGCGAAAAGGUCAGAAAGACAAAUAUCCCCCAUGGAGUUGUCAUAAAGCAAUGGCAGCCAGGCAAAAAAGGAGCUCAUAUUGAUCAACAUCCCAAAAUAUGCAGGACUCCAAAACGCACUAUGCAACAUGAUUUUUGUUCCCAAGUUAUGCAUGUAAUUUCCUAAUUGGUACUAUCAUAAAAACAUGGGAAAAGUGGAUUAAACCGUGAAAACUUUGUUUUUUGUGGGACAUCCUACAGCGCAUUUUGAUCUAGUUUUUCAAUGAACUAGUCUCAACCCGUUCAACAUACUUUGUGGCCGCCACAAAAAAAAAGUAUAUGGAAUAGAACAACUACUUUCAAAGUAAGUACCGCACAAUUAAACAGGAAAUAACACUUUCAAACCAGGAACAGAAUUUUGUUACAUAGUGUUCUACAAAGCCCCAUGGUGUCCAUUGAACGGAUCCUGUCUUUAUCUGGAAGAAAGACAGCUCAUUAUUAUAUGCAUCAUUUUCUCAAACUCAGGUUCAAAAUGUUUGGGAUCAACAGCGUUUGUAUUUAAUGUGUUGCUGAAGGCUUUCAUGGCCGGAAUCACUGGGCUGCUGUAUGGCUAUGUUCCAGAAGCAUUCUCUCCUGACGUUUUGCCCACAUCUAUGGCAGGCAUCCUGAGAGGUUGUGAGGUCUGUUGAAAACUAGGCAAGUGGGGUUUAUAUAUCUCUGGAAGGUACAGGGUGGGCGAAAAAACUCUUGUCUGUUUGAGGCAAGUGUUGCAAUUGGCCACCUUGAAUAGUAUUGAAUGGCUUUGCAGCUUCAAAGUCUGGCUGUUUCCUGGCUGGGGGAAUCCUAUCAGUCUGAUAUAGCUACCAGGUCCAUCCCAAGUUACUCUCUCAUUGACACUUUAGCCAACUACAGUAGAGUCUCAGUUAUCCAACAUAAACGGGCCGGCAGAACGUUGGAUGAGCGAAUAUGUUGGAUAAUAAGGAGAGAUUAAGGAGAAGCCUAUUAAACAUCAAAUUAAGUUAUGAUUUUACAAAUUAAGCACCAAAACAUCAUGUUAUACAACAAAACUGGCAGAAAAAGUAGUUCAAUACACAUUAAUGCUAUGUAGUAAUUACUGUAUUUACGAAUUUUGCACCAAAAUAUCAUGAUAUAUUGAAAACAUUGACUACAAAAAUGCGUUGGAUAAUCCAGAACGUUGGAUAAGCGAGUGUUGGAUAUUGUACCUCCUUUUUACAAAACUCACUCGGUGCAGUUUGCCCAGUUCGUUUUUAUGACUUUUACUCAGAUGUUGAAUUUAUGUUUUAUCAUGGUCACCAUUUUAAUUUCAUUACGUCAAUGUGCAAAAUUUUAUUUUAUGUCUGUAUUUCUUUGCCCAGCUCAUUUUAUGUUUUUAUUGCUGUGUUUUUCAUGUGUUUUAUAAUUAUCGUGAUUUUAAUGCCUUUUAAAUUUACUUGUGUGUUUUUGUAAAACCGUAAACUGUAUGCUGGUUUUAUAUCUGUAAGCCGCCCCGAGUCCCUCUGGGGAGAUGCAGGCGGGGUACAAAAAUAAAAUGAUUAUUAUUAUUAUUA